rnacentral:rRNA from 1 species
UACGUAGGGUGCGAGCGUUGUCCGGAAUUAUUGGGCGUAAAGGGCUCGUAGGCGGUUUGUCGCGUCGGGAGUGAAAACCAUGAGCUUAACUCAUGGCUUGCUUUCGAUACGGGCAGACUAGAGGUAUGCAGGGGAGAACGGAAUUCCUGGUGUAGCGGUGAAAUGCGCAGAUAUCAGGAGGAACACCGGUGGCGAGGGCGGUUCUCUGGGCAUUACCUGACGCUGAGGAGCGAAAGUGUGGGGAGCGAACAGG